UAGGGAAUCUUCCACAAUGGGCGAAAGCCUGAUGGAGCAACGCCGCGUGUGAUGAAGGGUUUCGGCUCGUAAAACACUGUUGUAAGAGAAGAAUGACAUUGAGAGUAACUGUUCAAUGUGUGACGGUAUCUUACCAGAAAGGAACGGCUAAAUACGUGCCCG
rnacentral:rRNA from 1 species